rnacentral:rRNA from 1 species
GCAGCGAAACGCGAUAGUUAAUGUGAAUUGCAGAAUUCAGUGAAUCAUCGAGUCUUUGAACGCACAUUGCGCCCAUUGGUAUUCCUUUGGGCAUGUCUGUUUGAGCGUCAUUACAACAUCUCAGCGCACGCUGGUUUUGAGCUGUGAGGGGCUUUCUGAGCCCCUUCCGCUUUAAAGUUGUAAGCUCUGCUGGCUCUCAGCCUGACCGAAAACAUAGUAAACUUCUUGCCUUGUUUAUGGAAUGGUUGUGGGGUUCGGCCUGAACAACACCUAUAAUUUCUAAGGUUUGACCUCAGAUCAGACAAGGAUACCCGCUGAACUUAAGCAUAUCAAUAAGCGGAGGA